GGUUAAGUCACUCGCUGCUGCGGGCUCUAUCUUGAAAGCGAUCGUGUUACGCCACGGAGGGAUGGACAGACGGCUUUUCUUCUUUGUCCAUGAAAAACCGUGCAACGGGAAUGAGGUGCUGAAGGCCGCUGCAAGCAGCAACUGCGGCGAGUCCAGAUGCAAGGACAUUGGACACCGUAAGCGCUGCAAGAGGGAUUCUAGGGCGGGCUGUUUCUGCAAAAGCGGGUAUUACCGAAAGGGAUCAGCAACCUCACCGUGUGUCACCAGUGAAAAGUGCAAUAGUACAAAUACAACGGUAUGACGGCGUCUGGACGGCCACAUAAAAAAUAAUAAAGUGCGCAUCUUUUAAAAUUUAGGCUUCCCAUAUGAAAAGUUCUAUUAUGACAAAAUAUUUUCCUUGUGACACUGCUUUGUAACGUCGCACGUGGUAGUUAUGCCUUGUCAGGGCAAUUAAUAUAUUUCUUUCCAAACUUUC